UUUUACAAGCUAAGCCAUGAUGGGGUCUAGUCACUAUUUGGAUGGGAGACCUCAAAGGAAAAUCCAGGUGUUGCAGAAA
rnacentral:rRNA from 1 species